rnacentral:rRNA from 1 species
CACCGAUUGACGUUUUUUAGAGUUUGGAUCCUGGCUCAGCUUGAACGCUGGCGGCAGGCCUAACACAUGCAAGUCGAGCGGUAGCACAGAGAGCUUGCUCUCGGGUGACGAGCGGCGGACGGGUGAGUAAUGUCUGGGAAACUGCCUGAUGGAGGGGGAUAACUACUGGAAACGGUAGCUAAUACCGCAUAACGUCGCAAGACCAAAGUGGGGGACCUUCGGGCCUCAUGCCAUCAGAUGUGCCCAGAUGGGAUUAGCUGGUAGGUGGGGUAACGGCUCACCUAGGCGACGAUCCCUAGCUGGGUCUGAGAGGAUGACCAGCCACACUGGAACUGAGACACGGUCCAGACUCCCUACGGGAGGCAGCAGUGGGGAAUAUUGCACAAUGGGCGCAAGCCUGAUGCAGCCAUGCCGCGUGUGUGAAGAAGGCCUUCGGGUUGUAAAGCACUUUCAGCGGGGAGGAAGGCGGUGAGGUUAAUAACCUCAUCGAUUGACGUUACCCGCAGAAGAAGCACCGGCUUUAACUUCCGUGCCAGCAGCCGCGGUAAUACGGAGGGUGCAAGCGUUAAUCGGCAAUUACUGGGCGUAAAGCGCACGCAGGCGGUCUGUCAAGUCGGAUGUGAAAUCCCCGGGCUCAACCUGGGAACUGCAUUCGAAACUGGCAGGCUAGAGUCUUGUAGAGGGGGGUAGAAUUCCAGGUGUAGCGGUGAAAUGCGUAGAGAUCUGGAGGAAUACCGGUGGCGAAGGCGGCCCCCUGGACAAAGACUGACGCUCAGGUGCGAAAGCGUGGGGAGCAAACAGAAUUAGAUACCCUGGUAGUCCACGCUGGAAAACAAUGUCUAUUUUCAUGAAGUCGGAAUCGCUAGUAAUCGUAGAUCAGAAUGCUACGGUGAAUACGUUCCCGGGCCUUGUACACACCGCCCGUCACACCAUGGGAGUGGGUUGCAAAAGAAGUAGGUAGCUUAACCUUCGGGAGGGCGCUUACCACUUUGGAUUCCG